ensembl:lncRNA
ACAGUCGCUACUUCAAAAACCAUAGAAUCUCCCACAGCAACCACAGCUGCUCUCACAACAACCACAGCUGCUCCCACAACAAACACAGCGGAUCCCACAACAACCACAGCUACUCCCACAACAACCACAACUGCUCCAACAACAACCACAGAAUCUACCACAACAACCACAGUCGCAACUUCAAAAACCAUAGAAUCUCCCACAGCAACCACAGCUGCUCUCACAACAACCACAGCUGCACCCACAACAAUCACAGCUGAUCCCACAACAACCACAGCUACUCCCACAACAAACACAGUGGAUCCCACAACAACCACAGCUGCUCCCACAACAAACACAGCUGCUCCCACAACAACCACAGCUGCUCCCACAACAAUUACAGCUGAUCCCACAACAACCACAGCUACUCCCACAACAAACACAGCGGAUCAAACAACAACCACAGCUACUCCCACAACAACCACAACUGCUCCAACAACAACCACAGAAUCUACCACAACAACCACAGUCGCUACUUCAAAAACCAUAGAUUCUCCCACAGCAACCACAGCUGCUCUCAGAACAACCACAGCUGCUCCCACAACAAACACAGCGGAUCCAACAACAACCACAGCUACUCCCACAACAACCACAACUGCUCCAACAACAACCACAGAAUCUACCACAACAACCAGAGUCGCUACUUCAAAAACCAUAGAAUCUCCCACAGCAACCACAGCUGCACUCACAACAACCACCACUGCUCCCAUAUCAACAACAGCUGCUCUCCCAACAACCACAGCUGCUCCCACAACAAAAACAGCGGAUCGCACAACAACCACAGCUACUCCCACAACAACCACAGCUGCUCCCACAACAACCACAGCUGCUCCGACAACAACCACAGCUGCUCCCACAACAACCACAGCUGCUCCCACAACAAACACAGCUGCUCCCACAACAACCACAGCUGCUCCCACAACAACCACAGCUGAUCCCAUAUCAACAACAGCUGCUCUCCCAACAACCACAGCCGCUCCCACAACAAACACAGCGGAUCCCACAACAACCACAGCUACUCCAACAACAACCACAGCUGCUCUAACAACAACCACAGAAUCUACCACAACAACCACAGUCGCCACUUCAAAAAUCACAGAAUCUCCCACAGCAACCAGAGCUGCUCUCACAACAACCACAGUUGCUCCCACAACAACCACAGCUGCUCCCACAACAACCACAGCUGAUCCCACAACAACCACAGCUGCUCUCACAACAACCACAGCUGCUCCCACAACAACCACAGCUGCUCCCACAACAACAACAGCUGCUCCAACAACAACCACAGCUAAUCCCACAACAACGACAGCUACUUACACAACAUUCUCAGGUGUUCCCACAACAACCACAGUUGCUCCCACAACAACCACAGCUGCUCCCACAACAACCACCGCUGCUCCCACAACAACCACAGCUGUUCCCACACAAACCACAGCUGCUACGACAACAACUCCAGAUGUUCCAAAAACAACCACAUCUGCUCCAACAACAACCACAGCUUCUCCCACAACCACCAUACAAGCUCCAACGACAACUACAAUUGGGGCUACAACAACCACAGAUGCUCCCACAUCAACGACACCAUCUACAACAACAACCACAACUGCUCGCACAACAACCACAGCAGCUCCAAAGACAACUACAACUGAGGCUACAACAACCACAGAUACUCCAAUGACAACCACAGCUACUCCCACAACAACCACAGCUGCUCCAUCAACAACCACAGCUAAUCCCACAACAACAACAGCUAUUUACACAACAUCCUCAGGUGUUCCCACAUUAACCACACCUGCUUCAACAGCAAACACACAAACAAACACAGCUGCUCCAGCAACAACAACAUAUGCUCCCACAUCAACCACUUCUGCUCCCACAACAACCACAGCUGCUCCAGCAACAACAACAUAUGCUCCCACAACAACCACUUAUGCUCCCACAACAAGCACAGCUGCUCCAGCAACAACCACAGCCUCUCAAGCAACAACAACAUAUGCUGCCACAACAAGCACUUCUGCUCCAGCAACAACCACAGCUGCUCCCAAAACCACCACAGCUGCUGCCACAACAACCACAGCUGCUCCAAGAACAACAACAUCUGCUCUGACCACAGUUACAACAGGUUAUUCAACCACUACCACAACACCGGCCCCUCCACCACCAGAGGUGAAGUUGGAGUUCAAAUUGGAGCAAAACUUCACAGCAGAUUUGAAUAAUGUUUCUUCACCAGAGUUCAAAGAAUUAGCAAAUACUGUGUCUACAGCGCUGGAAAAUGUGUACAAAAGUAAAUAUGGAUCCAGUUUCAUUCGCAUAGAAGUUAUAGGUUUCAGUCAAGGUUCAAUUGUGGUAAUCACUAAGCUGGUAUUUAACGAUACCAGCGUAGUCCCUGCGAACAGUGAUGUGGCUGCCACGAUGACAGAGGCAGUUUCAAGCAACAGCUCUAAUUUCUCUCUCCCAGUGAACACAGCCUCCAUUGUGGCAACAAAGGUGAUUGUACCAACACCACCCCCAGCAGCCACAACUCCAACUUCAGCUGUGGAUACAACAACCACAGCUGCUCCUACAUCAACCACAGCAGUUCCACAAACAACAACAGCUACUCUCACAACAACCACAGCUGCUCCCACAACAACCACAGCUGUUCCAACAACAUCGCCACCUGCUCAGACAAAAACCCCAGAUGUUCCAACAACAACUACAGCUGCUCCCACAACCACCCCUGCUGCUCCCACAACAACCACAGAAUCUCCCACAACAUCCACAGUUGCUGCCACAACAACCACAGCUGUUCCCACAACAACGCCACCUGCUCUGACAAAAACUCCAGAUGUUCCAACAACAACCACAGCUGCUCAAACGACAAUCACAGCUGCUCCCAUAUCAACGACAGCUGCUCUCCCAACAACCGCAGCCUCACCCACAACAAACACAGCGGCUCCAACAAAAUCCCCAGCUGCUCCCACAACAACCAUAGCUGCUCCAACAACAACCACAGAAUCUCCCACAACAACCACAGUCGCUACUUCAAAAACCCCAGCUGCUCCAACAACAACCUCAGCUGCUCCCACAACAAUCACAGAAUCUCCCACAACAACCACAGCUGCUCCCACAACAACCACAGCUGCUCUCACAACAACCACAGCUGCUCCCACAACAACCACAGCUACUCCAACAACAACCACAGCCUAUCCCACAACAACCACAGCUGCUCCCACAACAACCACAGCUGCUCCUACAGCAACCACAGCUGCUCCAACAAAAACCACAUCAUCUACCACAAAAACCACAGAUGCACCCACAACAACAACAGCAUAUCCAACAACAACCACAACUAUUCCCACAACAACCACAGCUGCACCCACAACAACCACAGGUGCACCCACAACAACCAAAGGUGCACCCACAACAACCACAGCCAUCCCCACAACCCCAUAGCUUCUCCCACAGCAACCAUAGAAGCUCCAACGACAACUACAAUUGGGGCAACAACAACCACAGAUACUUCAAAAACAACCACAGCUGUUCCCACAACAACCACGGCUACUCCGACAACAACCCCAGAUGUACCAACCACAACCACAACUCUUCCAACAACAACCACAACUGCUCCAACAACAAACACAGAUACAUUCAAAACAACCACAGCUGCUCCCACAACAACCACAGCUGCUCUCACUACAACCGCAGCUAUUCCCACAACAACCACAGCUGCUCCAACAACAACCAGAGAUUUUCCCACAACAACCACAGCUGCUCCCACAACAACCACAGCUGCUUCCACAACAACACCAGCUGCUCCAACAACAACCUCAGCUGCUCCCACAACAACCACAGCUGCUCCAACAACAACCACAGCUGUUCCCACAACAACCAUAGCUGCUACAACAACCACAGAUACUCCAACAACAACCACUACUGCUCCCACAUCAACCACAGCUGCUCCCACAACAACCACAGAAUCUCCCACAACAACCACAGCUGCUCCCACAACAACCACAGCUGCUCCCACAACAACCACAGUUGAUCCCACAACAACCACAGCUGUUCCCACAACAACCACAGAAUCUCCCACAACAACCACAGUCGCUACUUCAAAAACCACAGCUGCUCCAACAACAACCAGAGCUGUUCCCACAACAACCACAGCUGUUCCCACAACAACCACAGCUGCUCCCACAACAACCACAGCUGCUCCCACAACAACCACAGCAGCUCCAACAACAACCACAGCUGUUCCCACAACAACCACAGCUGUUCCCACAACAACCACAGCUGUUCCCACAACAACCACAGCUGCUCCCACAACAAC